CAGAGUGUAGCUUAAAUAGUCAGAGCGUCUCCCUUACACUGAGAAGGCACCCGCGCAACUCGGGUCACCCUGU
rnacentral:tRNA from 1 species